rnacentral:rRNA from 1 species
GACGAACGCUGGCGGCGUGCUUAACACAUGCAAGUCGAACGGAAAGGCCCUGCUUUUGUGGGGUGCUCGAGUGGCGAACGGGUGAGUAACACGUGAGUAACCUGCCCUUGACUUUGGGAUAACUUCAGGAAACUGGGGCUAAUACCGGAUAGGAGCUCCUGCUGCAUGGUGGGGGUUGGAAAGUUUCGGCGGUUGGGGAUGGACUCGCGGCUUAUCAGCUUGUUGGUGGGGUAGUGGCUUACCAAGGCUUUGACGGGUAGCCGGCCUGAGAGGGUGACCGGCCACAUUGGGACUGAGAUACGGCCCAGACUCCUACGGGAGGCAGCAGUGGGGAAUAUUGCACAAUGGGCGGAAGCCUGAUGCAGCAACGCCGCGUGCGGGAUGACGGCCUUCGGGUUGUAAACCGCUUUC